rnacentral:rRNA from 1 species
AUUGAACGCUGGCGGCAGGCCUAACACAUGCAAGUCGAGCGGAGGAAGGGAGCUUGCUCCUGGAUUCAGCGGCGGACGGGUGAGUAAUGCCUAGGAAUCUGCCUGGUAGUGGGGGAUAACGUCCGGAAACGGGCGCUAAUACCGCAUACGUCCUGAGGGAGAAAGUGGGGGAUCUUCGGACCUCACGCUAUCAGAUGAGCCUAGGUCGGAUUAGCUAGUUGGUGGGGUAAAGGCCUACCAAGGCGACGAUCCGUAACUGGUCUGAGAGGAUGAUCAGUCACACUGUAACUGAGACACGGUCCAGACUCCUACGGGAGGCAGCAGUGGGGAAUAUUGGACAAUGGGCGAAAGCCUGCUCCAGCCAUGCCGCGUGUGUGAAGAAGGUCUUCGGAUUGUAAAGCACUUUAAGUUGGGAGGAAGAGCAGUAAGUUAAUACCUUGCUGUUUUGACGUUACCAACAGAAUAAGCACCGGCUAACUUCGUG